UACAGAGGGGGCAAGCGUUAUUCGGAAUUAUUGGGCGUAAAGGGCGCGUAGGCGGCUUGGCAAGUGGAUGGUGAAAUCCCUCGGCUUAACCGAGGAACUGCCGUCCAAACUGCUUCGUUUGAGACCGGGAGAGGUGAGUGGAAUUCCCAGUGUAGCGGUGAAAUGCGUAGAUAUUGGGAGGAACACCAGUGGCGAAGGCGGCUCACUGGACCGGUACUGACGCUGAUGCGCGAAAGCGUGGGGAGCAAACGGG
rnacentral:rRNA from 1 species